ACGCGGGGGCCGCGCUCGCCCCGCCGCCCCCGGGAGGGACCCGCGGCCUUUCGCCGCCCUUCCCGCGCCGAGCUUGCGAAACAGGAUCGCUUCCCCUUUCCUGACGGCGCCUUCCCUUUUCUAAGAACGGCCCGGACGCGAGGAAGCGGCGGCGCACCUCCCGCUCUCCCGGGGAGGGAUGUGCCCGAGGCAGGAGCAGCAUCGGCGUCCCCAUGGCAGGGAGGGAAUGGGAACAGGAGAGCGUGGCAGUACAUCUGGCAGAUCCUCUUUUCAUCUCCUCUCCAAGGUAGAAGGACACAUCCUUUUGCAAAGAACAGCUGUGGCUGGUACCACACGGCAGCAGCCUCACCACAGGGGCUGCGACAGGAAACCGGGCAAAGGAAAACUGCAGGUGCUGCAGUUUGGCUACAUCACUUUGGGGAACACGAGCACCCCAAACUCGGGCCUGGAGGCUGGACAGCACAGCCUCAACCAGCCUCCUCGAGGGAGCUUUGCUUCCCCUGUGGCAGCCACUUGCUGAGGAGCCAGAUCGACAGGCCAGCAGGAAGCAGCACUAAACACAACAAGGGAGCGCAGCAUGGAUUGGUUAUAAAACUCCCUGUCUUCAUUUUAUUGCCUUUGGUAAAGCUUGGUAAAUAUUUCUGGGACAGGCAA